AACUUUGUGAAGGUUUUACUUGCUACUGACAUAACGCAGCUGUCGGACCUACAACAAAGGCUAAGGUUUAUGAGCAACUUGAAUUAGGAUUUUGUCUUGACAGAUAAAGUGCCCAAAGAAACAGAAAAGCUGACAAAGCUUCCUAACUUGGCUUUCAGAGACCUUGCUCAGUGUUUUUGGUA
rnacentral:lncRNA from 1 species